rnacentral:rRNA from 1 species
GAGUUUAAUCAUGGCUCAGGAUGAACGCUGGCGGCGUGCUUAACACAUGCAAGUCGAACGGAGCUAUCUUUCGGGAUAGUUCAGUGGCGCACGGGUGAGUAACACGUAGCUUAUCUACCCCAAAGCGUGGGAUAACGCUCCGAAAGGAGUGCUAAUACCGCAUAAGCUCACGAGCUCUAGAGGCUCAUGAGAAAAGGCUGGUCGCAAGACACAGUCACUUUGGGAGGAGGCUGCGGCCCAUCAGGUAGUUGGUGUGGUAACGGCACACCAAGCCGACGACGGGUAGGGGACCUGAGAGGGUGAUCCCCCACACUGGGACUGAGACACGGCCCAGACUCCUACGGGAGGCAGCAGUGAGGAAUAUUGCCCAAUGGAGGAAACUCUGAGGCAGCGACGCCGCGUGGGUGAAGAAGGCCUUCGGGUCGUAAAGCCCUUUUCUUGCGUGACGAGAAGGACGGUAGCGCAGGAAUAAGUCUCGGCUAACUACGUGCCAGCAGCCGCCGCGGUAAG